rnacentral:rRNA from 1 species
GGCUCAGAACGAACGCUGGCGGCGUGCCUAACACAUGCAAGUCGAACGGAAUUGAGGGGCUUGCUCUUCAAUUUAGUGGCGCACGGGUGAGUAACGCGUAGAUAAUCUGCCUGACGAUCUGGGAUAACACUUCGAAAGAGGUGCUAAUACCGGAUAAGCCCACGGGAUCUUUGGAUUCUGCGGGAAAAGGGGGGGACCUUCGGGCCUUCUGUCGUCAGAUGAGUCUGCGUACCAUUAGCUAGUUGGUAGGGUAAAGGCCUACCAAGGCGACGAUGGUUAGCUGGUCUGAGAGGAUGAUCAGCCACACUGGAACUGAGACACGGUCCAGACUCCUACGGGAGGCAGCAGUGGGGAAUUUUGCGCAAUGGGCGAAAGCCUGACGCAGCAACGCCGCGUGAGUGAUGAAGGCUUUCGGGUCGUAAAGCUCUGUCAAUGGGAAAGAAGUGUAUUGGAGCUAAUAUCUCCGAUACUUGACGGUACCCAUAAAGGAAGCACCGGCUAACUCCGUGCCAGCAGCCGCGGUAAUACGGGGGGUGCAAGCGUUGUUCGGAAUUAUUGGGCGUAAAGCGCGUGUAGGCGGUCUGAUUAGUCUGAUGUGAAAGCCCUGGGCUCAACCCAGGAAGUGCAUUGGAUACUGUCAGACUUGAAUACGGGAGAGGGUAGUGGAAUUCCUAGUGUAGGAGUGAAAUCCGUAGAUAUUAGGAGGAACACCGGUGGCGAAGGCGGCUACCUGGACCGAUAUUGACGCUGAGACGCGAAAGCGUGGGUAGCAAACAGGAUUAGAUACCCUGGUAGUCCACGCCGUAAACGAUGAGUACUAGGUGUUGCGGGUAUUGACCCCUGCAGUGCCGCAGCUAACGCAUUAAGUACUCCGCCUGGGAAGUACGGUCGCAAGACU